GUUGACCUCGGAUCAGGUAGGGAUACCCGCUGAACUUAAGCAUAUCAAUAAGCGGAGGAAAAGAAACCAACAGGGAUUGCCCUAGUAACGGCGAGUGAAGCGGCAAUAGCUCAAAUUUGAAAGCUGGCCUUUGGUCCGCAUUGUAAUUUGUAGAGGAUGCUUUUAGGCAGCCGCCGGUCUAAGUUCCUUGGAACAGGACGUCAUAGAGGGUGAGAAUCCCGUAUGUGACCGGCUCUGGCACCUUCUGUAAAGCUCCUUCGACGAGUCGAGUUGUUUGGGAAUGCAGCUCUAAAUGGGAGGUAAAUUUCUUCUAAAGCUAAAUACCGGCGAGAGACCGAUAGCGCACAAGUAGAGUGAUCGAAAGAUGAAAAGCACUUUGGAAAGAGAGUUAAAAAGCACGUGAAAUUGUUGAAAGGGAAGCGCUUGCAAUCAGACUUGGACUUGGCUGUUCAACCGGUCUUCUGACCGGCCUACUCAGUCUUGUCCAGGCCAGCAUCAGUUUCGGCGGCCGGAUAAAGGCCCUGGGAAUGUAGCUGUCUCUUCGGGGGCAGUGUUAUAGCCCAGGGUGUAAUACGGCCAGCUGGGACUGAGGUCCGCGCUUCGGCUAGGAUGCUGGCGUAAUGGUUGUAAGCGGCCCGUCUUGAAACACGGACCAAGGAGUCUAACAUCUAUGCGAGUGUUAGGGUGUCAAACCCUUACGCGUAAUGAAAGUGAACGGAGGUGGGAACCCGCAAGGGUGCACCAUCGACCGAUCCUGAUGUCUUCGGAUGGAUUUGAGUAAGAGCAUAGCUGUUGGGACCCGAAAGAUGGUGAACUAUGCCUGAAUAGGGUGAAGCCAGAGGAAACUCUGGUGGAGGCUCGCAGCGGUUCUGACGUGCAAAUCGAUCGUCAAAUUUGGGUAUAGGGGCGAAAGACUAAUCGAACCAUCUAGUAGCUGGUUCCUGCCGAA
rnacentral:rRNA from 1 species